UAAGGAAUAUUGGUCAAUGGGCGGAAGCCUGAACCAGCCAUGCCGCGUGCAGGACGACUGCCCUAUGGGUUGUAAACUGCUUUUGUCCAGGAAUAAACCUAAAUACGUGUAUUUAGCUGAAUGUACUGGAAGAAUAAGGAUCGGCUAACUCCGUGCCAGCAGCCGCGGUAAUACGGAGGAUCCGAGCGUUAUCCGGAUUUAUUGGGUUUAAAGGGUGCGUAGGCGGCCUAUUAAGUCAGGGGUGAAAUACGGUGGCUCAACCAUCGCAGUGCCUUUGAUACUGAUGGGCUUGAAUCCAUUUGAAGUGGGCGGAAUAAGACAAGUAGCGGUGAAAUGCAUAGAUAUGUCUUAGAACUCCGAUUGCGAAGGCAGCUCACUAAGCUGGUAUUGACGCUGAUGCACGAAAGCGUGGGGAUCGAACAG
rnacentral:rRNA from 1 species